CUUUUGCCAUGCUCUUACAGUGCUUUCACCAACUUGGACUGAAUUGUUUUCUUACUACAUGACUCGUAACAGAUUUUACUUACCUGUUUAUUCAUUGGUGUGCCGGGUGGCAUCAGUCUCCUUUCUGGGCCACCUGUAAUUCAUUGUUCUCCUGAUCACUGAAAUAUGUGGAUGCAAUUUACCAGAAAACCAUGGGUAUGCAUGAUAUGAGAGAACUCCGCAAGUUGGGUGGCUAAGAGCCAUUACUUAAGGGUCCUACCAUCCCAGCAAUAGCAUUAAUUCCCAUGUAUUUACACCCAUUCUGUAGUCCCCCCUCAUUCAAUUUGACCCUGAGGGCCUUGAAAAGAAGACAUGCUGUAUAACUGAAUGAUUCCCCCAGCACCCCCUCCCCAUAAAAAAAAUGAUGAACACAAAUCUUAAAAAAUUCUUUUUUAAUGUCUUACUUUGGAUUGAAAUUAUAUGUUUAAGAGGGAAGGAGAAAAAACUUGUCUUAGUCUUGGUUUUGUGGAAUGUAAUUGGGACAUAACAUCUUUCUUGAUGAUAAACCAAAACAUAAUAUAAAAUUAUCAGUUGUUGCUAAAUGGGAAAUAACAUCUGAUUUUUAGCUUUUACCUCCCAGGGAAAACUUGAAUAAUAGUGUGACUUCAUUCCAACAGGGUGCAAGUUAGGUUCUCAUUCUCAUAUCUUGUGGAUUGUAGAGCAUAGAAUCUCCAAGGUGGUGGCUGUUGUAUGAAGAAUACUUCAAUGCUUAGAUCUAUCUAUUCUAUCUGUAGAAUAUUCAGCUGACAACCCCUUAAGUUGCUCAACUGAUGUGAACAAAAUUCCAU
rnacentral:misc_RNA from 1 species